UACAGAGGUCUCAAGCGUUGUUCGGAAUUACUGGGCGUAAAGAGCGCGCAGGCGGUCGUUCAAGUCGCGUGUGAAAGCCCCCCGGCUCAACUGGGGAGGGUCACGCGAUACUGAUCGACUCGAAGGCAGGAGAGGGAAGUGGAAUUCCCCGGUGUAGUGGUGAAAUGCGUAGAUAUCCGGGAGGAACACCAGUGGCGAAGGCGACUUCCUGGCCUGUUCCUGACGCUGAGGCGCGAAAGCUAGGGAGCAAACGGG
rnacentral:rRNA from 1 species